UGGGUAAUAUUGCACAAUGGGCGAAAGCCUGAUGCAGCGACGCCGCGUGAGGGAUGACGGCCUUCGGGUUGUAAACCUCUUUCAGCAGGGACGAAGCGCAAGUGACGGUACCUGCAGAAGAAGCACCGGCUAACUACGUGCCAGCAGCCGCGGUAAUACGUAGGGUGCAAGCGUUGUCCGGAAUUACUGGGCGUAAAGAGUUCGUAGGCGGUUUGUCGCGUCGUUUGUGAAAACCAGCAGCUCAACUGCUGGCUUGCAGGCGAUACGGGCAGACUUGAGUACUGCAGGGGAGACUGGAAUUCCUGGUGUAGCGGUGAAAUGCGCAGAUAUCAGGAAGAACACCGGUGGCGAAGGCGGGUCUCUGGGCAGUAACUGACGCUGAGGAACGAAAGCGUGGGUAGCGAACAGG
rnacentral:rRNA from 1 species